GUGGGAAAAGCUCGCCGGUCCUGUUUGAUAAGCUGCUGUUCCCUGAAUGAUCCGGAGAGAACAGGCCGUGGUCUCCGGGUGGCUCCGGCAGGACUUGCUGACUCCGUCAGGUGUUUCCGGAUUCUCCUCCCUGCAGAAAAUCAGCUGUGGAACAUCUGCUCAUAUCCUUUUUAAUUGAGAGCAGCAGCACAGGCCGGCUGAUCACCGCUUCACAAGCAUCCGUUCCAGCUUUGGCUCCGCCCAGAUUUGAACCCAGGACCCAGGGCAAAAGCCUGUUAUCAUGUGACUUAAUUCUAAGUGAAUCUUUUCUCCACGCUGAACUACUAAACCCGACCCCAGGAUCAGCCCAGGUGCCAAAUCCCACUUUAACCCCUGCUGGCAUGAAUGAUCCCUGUGACACUGUACCAAAGAAGUCAAUACAAAUAAUUAGUGGAUGAACAAAACACUGGACACACCGCCAUGUUUAGGUUUUUAUUGAGUAAAAAUUAUAUAUGCUGCUAUAGAAAGUACACAAAAAUACAGCAACGUUUUCCUCUAAUAAAAUAAAGUGUAAAAAUUGUUUUUUUUUUGAGUUUUCAUAAAAGAUUUAUAAAAAGGUAAAAGAAAAGUUUUCAAUGGGAUUAUAAGUUGCACACAGGCCUACAAGCGUCCUCACUUUUCAUCAAAAUUAAACAUCUUAUUAAUACGAGCUACUCUGCACUAGAACAUUAGCGAGAUUUAUACCGUGUUAAUAUAAACUAUCAUAUAAAAUGUUUUAAAGA